rnacentral:rRNA from 1 species
GUAGGUGGCAAGCGUUGUCCGGAAUUAUUGGGCGUAAAGCGCGCGCAGGCGGUCCUUUAAGUCUGAUGUGAAAGCCCACCGGCUCAACCGGUGGAGGGUCAUUGGAAACUGGGGGACUUGAGUACAGAAGAGGAAAGCGGAAUUCCAAGUGUAGCGGUGAAAUGCGUAGAGAUUUGGAGGAACACCAGUGGCGAAGGCGGCUUCUGGUCUGUAACUGACGCUGAGGCGCGAAAGCGUGGGGAGCAAACAGGGAUUAGAUACCCUGGUAGUCCACGCCGUAAACGAUGAGUGCUAAGUGUUAGGGGGUUUCCGCCCCCUUAGUGCUGCAGCUAACGCAUUAAGCACUCCGCCUGGGGAUACGGCCGCAAGGCUG